rnacentral:lncRNA from 1 species
CAUGUGGAGUAUUCAGUUUUGUAAUAAGAGGGUUGUUCAAGGCAUCAGUCUGCCACUCUACUAGAAACAGAAUUCUCCCAGGCAUUUUUUUUAUAUAAAGUAGUUAAUGAAAUUUUGAACCAUCUUACAUGAAUUUUUAUUAAAAUACACUUCAGGAUGUGGUGCCCAUUAUCCAUUCUACUCUUUUGUAACAAGUAGAUUUCUCUGAAUUCUUGAAUUUGAAAACAAUUGGGCUUCCUAAACGGAGAAUAUGGAAUAUUAUUGGGGACGAUGUCUUUAAUAAUACAUUUCAAGAUAGGAGAAACUUUUUCUAUAUAGUUGACUUUAAUAAAAGCCUAGGGCAAAACUUUCAAUAUAUUAACAGUAUUUAUGAGGCAGUUAAGAAUUUGGGUCAACAGCGGUGUUUCUUAAACUAUUAAUAUAUUCCAAAGGAUAUUUACUUUACCAGAAGUUCAACAUUAUACCCCAAAAGAGAGACUCCAUGAUCACCCAUGUUUGAAAAAUGUUACAAAACUGUGCAUUAUGUGUCUAGUAUUUGAGAAAUCUUUUGAACUUCACCUAAUCCUUAUUUGUAAAUACUUAUUUUGGAGAACCUUUUGGAGGCCCCUCCUCCAACACUGAAGCUCAUAAUUCAUCAUGAGAUUUGGCUGGGGACACAGCGCCAA